AAUAUUGGUCAAUGGACGCAAGUCUGAACCAGCCAUGCCGCGUGCAGGAUGAAGGCCCUAUGGGUUGUAAACUGCUUUUGUACGGGAAAAAACCUCCGAACGUGUUCGGAGCUGAUUGUACCGUAAGAAUAAGGAUCGGCUAACUCCGUGCCAGCAGCCGCGGUAAUACGGAGGAUCCAAGCGUUAUCCGGAUUCAUUGGGUUUAAAGGGUGCGUAGGCGGGAUAGUAAGUCAGUGGUGAAAUCCUGCAGCUUAACUGCAGAACUGCCAUUGAUACUGCUAACCUAGAGUACAGCUGAUGUGGGCGGAAUGUGUCGUGUAGCGGUGAAAUGCUUGGAUAUGACACAGAACACCGAUUGCGAAGGCAGCUCACAAAACUGUAACUGACGCUGAGGCACGAAAGUGUGGGGAUCGAAC
rnacentral:rRNA from 1 species